CCUGGUGCUUCGAGCGACGGGGUAACACCUGAUCCCAUCCCGAACUCAGCAGUGAAGACCGUCAGCGCCAAUGGUAGUGGGGCAUCCGCCUUGCGAGAGUAGGCCGGUGCCAGGA
rnacentral:rRNA from 1 species